rnacentral:rRNA from 1 species
UACGGGGGGGGCAAGCGUUGUUCGGAAUUACUGGGCGUAAAGGGUUCGUAGGUGGCUUGCUAAGUCAGACGUGAAAUCCCUCAGCUUAACCUGGGGAACUGCGUCGUGAGACUGGUGAGCUUGAGUGCAGGAGAGGAACGCGGAAUUCCAGGUGUAGCGGUGAAAUGCGUAGAUAUCUGGAGGAACACCGGUGGCGAAGGCGGCGUUCUGGACUGCUACUGACACUGAGGAACGAAAGCCAGGGGAGCAAACGGG